UACGAAGGGGGCGAGCGUUGUUCGGAUUUACUGGGCGUAAAGGGCGCGCAGGCGGCCAUUCAAGUCAGGCGUGAAAGCCCCGGGCUUAACCUGGGAGGUGCGUCUGGGACUGGGUGGCUGGAGAUCGGGAGAGGAGAGUGGAAUUCCCAGUGUAGAGGUGAAAUUCGUAGAUAUCGGGAGGAACACCAGUGGCGAAGGCGGCGACCUGGACGGACACUGACGCUGAGACGCGAAAGCGUGGGGAGCAAACAGG
rnacentral:rRNA from 1 species